UACGUAGGGUGCAAGCGUUGUCCGGAAUUAUUGGGCGUAAAGGGUGCGUAGGUGGCGCCGUAAGUCGGGUGUGAAAUUUCGGAGCUUAACUCCGAAACUGCAUUCGAUACUGCGGUGCUUGAGGACUGGAGAGGAGACUGGAAUUCAUGGUGUAGCAGUGAAAUGCGUAGAGAUCAUGAGGAAGACCAGUGGCGAAGGCGGGUCUCUGGACAGUUCCUGACACUGAGGCACGAAGGCCAGGGGAGCAAACGGG
rnacentral:rRNA from 1 species